AAGAAUAGCUGCAAGUAACCUUUGGCUCUUAGUAAGUACCACUAUGUUUGAGUAUGUUAGAGCAACUGAAAAGAUUGGUACAUUCAACAUAUUUUUCCUUUCUAAAUCUAGCCCUGCUCACAGACCCAUUUGACUGAGUGAUAUAUUUGGAAAACAAAGAUGGCCCCACCAAAUUACUCAGUUUCAGCCUUACUCUUGCGGAUUGAUUAAAAUAAAGAAGGAAAAAAAGGAAAUAACUUUUAACUGCAGUCUCACCUUACACAUCUCACCAGCACUAUAGUUCAUUAGUGAUCAAUUACUUCAUCCAAUUCCUGAGGCAAACAGAAAAGAUGUGUCUAUACAACACCAGUAACAGACAUUAUCAGCAGCAAACAUUUUAUCAGCCUUAAGUGAAAGGGCAUCUAAAUUUGAAAUGGAAAAAGUUACAAAAAUGGUACAGUGUGUAGCUUUGCAAGUGAGUGUUUCUUUGACCUUAUAACAUUUCCUUUCAGUAAGAUAAAAGAAUAGAUUAUUCCAUGCACUUAAAACUAAAAAACAUAAUAGUUAUCUUUUUCAACCCGGACUGACCUUACUUUCAAAACCAGAAAGAAAUGGAGAGGAAAUUUUAUUAAUAUGCCUUUAAGAAAGAGCUAAAUUAAGAACAAACUAGGCAAGACAGACAACUCCUCCCUCCCCCCCCUCCAGGAAUCCACUGUCUCUGAAGUUACACUUUAUUAUAUUAAUGAUUUGCCUUAAAAGUGUAAGUUGUGAGGGAGAAGGAAUGACAAUUUUUGAACUGCAAACAAAACCUGAGGAUCCUGAUCUAAGAAGAAUCACAGGAGCCUGACUUCCUGCCCUGUCUGAAGGAUUCUCAGCAAAGGCUAGGGUGCAGAAGUCUCCAGUAAUUUGGGGGAGAGGAAUCAAAGUUCCCUAGGUAAGACUGCAGUCUCUGAGCCCUUGAAAAGGGUACUGGAGUACUCUCAAGGAAUCUCCAGGAAAAGAGAGCCAUCUUUAUUUUUGUUGAUGUACUUGUGCGCCAAAGAGCAAUUCCGAGGAGGGGGCGGGGAAAGGGGGGAAGAAAGUGAAUCUCGGGCCGAAAGCCCUCCGCGGGGGAGGGAGGGAGCGCACCCCUGACCCACUUUUUCCGAGGACCCCAGCUCUGGCCUCCGCCCCACCCGGUAGAAGUCCGAGCCCUGAGGUGGGCAUCGAGCGGGGCGUGGGAGGCCCGCACGCUCCCCACCCCCAGCCGCGACCCAGAGGAGGGGAACGUGCAGGGAGGCUCGAGUCCCACUCCCAGAGUGCCCGGGCCGGAGAAACCUCCCGCAGGCUCCCGGGCCCGGCGUGCAAGGCCCCCUCCCCGGCCAGGGCCCAGGGGGCCGUGGCCCCCAGCGGAGGGGACUGGGACUGAGUAGGGGAAGAAGCUGUAAACAGCCCCAGCGUCCGGGCCUCGCCUCGAAGAGCCCCGCUUCCCCGGCCCACAGCCCGCCCCGGGCCCGCCGCGCCCCGGGACCGGGACACCGGAGGGUAGUCGGGUCCCCUCCCUGGAGGGCUCCGGGAGCUCGCGGAGCGGCCCCAGGAGCAGAGAAGGGGGACGUCAAGACUUAACUGUCAUUACUUUCUACGCCAUCUUGGAUCCACUUGUCAACGUCCCCACAAAGCAUUAUGGCCUCCCUGCCCCCACGCCCGGUCUUCUUGACCCGCUGCGCUCCUGCCCGGGCAGACGCCCCGCGUCUGCAUUGAAUCAGCCCGCGGUUUCCCUGCGGCUGGCGGCGCGGAGCAGCUCACGGAUUUAUUUGUGCGCGUGGAUGUGAGCGUUUCUGCUCCUGCGGCCCCGCUUCCAGGAAGCCCGCGGGCAGCCGGGGUCGCCUUCAGGGCCCUGUAGACCAGCUCCGCACUCGCCGGCCGGAGAGGUGCCUCUGGCCCUGGGAAAGCGCCCCGGGGCCGUCGGGCUCCCGGAACUGGGAGGACGGCGCGUCCCCGAGUCCACCAGCGUCGAAGCACGAUUUAAAAAAAAAAAGAAUGAGCCAAAUGCAACUUUUUACCCCUGGUUUACUCAGCCUUCAGCGGUCUCCUCCUCCCGGCGGGUAACGUGAUCCGCGACCCUCUAGGUGGAGACCCCUCCCCUAGGAAUGUGGCUCCGGGCUCCGGGGAUCCCGCCUAGGAGCUUCGGGGCUGUGGACUGUGACUACGGGGCAGGUAAUCGGGGACGUGGGCCCGGGGGGUGGCGCGGAAGCCGCCUGGGCUCGGGGGAGGGUCUUGGGCUGAGAGCAGGGAGCGCCUGUCCGGAUCCACCUGGCGGGUCCCAGUCCAGCGGCAAACUCAGGCGACCCGGCCGGGGGAGAACCCCGGACGCCGCUCCAGCUCGAGAGGCGGGAGGUGGGGACGCCCGGCUUCUCCGGGCUGCGACUUGCAGCGUUGGAAAGUGCGAGUCUCCUCGGCGCGGGCCGGGGUUUCUGAUUCGGGGGAGCACCCCUAGCCUGCCUUCCCCCUGCUGCAGGGCAUCCUCUCCCCGCGACACCGAGCCAGCUUUCGGCUGCUCAGGGCGAGCAGAGAGAGCACUGGCCCCGGGCCCUGACCCGGUCGCCGCCGGUACCCUGGAGCCCCGGCGUCCAGCCGCCCCGGUCCCCCUUGCGAAGGAGAUCCGUUGUCACCCUCCGCCCGAGUUCUUCCCAGAACCUCAGGUCCCUGAUUUUUGCUGUCUUUGGAGGCCUGCUCCAGUUGCUUUUUUUUUUUCCCCCCCCAAGCAAGUUUUUACAACAAGGAGGUGUCCAAAAGAAAAUCCUCCAGAACAGGAAUGCUUGCUAAUUGUAUUCGGUGCAAAAUGCUGUUGAACGGCUCUGCAUUUAAAAGAACGCGCAGGCACCGGCUUUAAAAUCUCCUUUCGGUGCACGGGGAGGGCCUGGGCCUUGGGUCUACCCGAGGGUUUUACGCUCCUCCAGACCCUAUCAGCAGCCUCAGGAGGAACCUGGACAGUGGCAGACGGGAGCCCCGCCCCUGGGGAGCCAAAAACUCCACCAGGCAAUUGUCCCGGUGUGAUGAGAAGAGUGAGGUGUGGACACAUUGAGGGACUGGCCCCGGGUCACUCUCGAGAGAGGGAACGAGGUAAUGAGUCAUUCCCAGCCAAGAAUGCUGCGUUCUGGGGAGCAGCCUCCCCUGAGUCACCCGCUUCUCAGCUCAGAAUGAGUGGAGAAACUGGAGACUGGAGCCAGGUUCUUAGACCACCCAGCUUUGGUAGCCACCAAGGGCACGGGCUAGGCUAGGGGGAGGCGGUGCCCCUCCUGCUGGAAAAAUGGAAUGCUUGGCCUAUCUAAAGAAGGCUCCAACUUCUCUUUCCAGGAGCACCCCGGAUGCUUCUUUUCCAAUUCCUCCUUUGCACUUAUUUAGCCACUGGUAUGCACUGACUCAGUGGUUGUUCAGUUUGCAUGACACCUUUCUGUGUGUAGUCUGAGGUUACUAUUAGGUUAAUGCAAAAGUAAUGGCAAAAGCCACAAUGACUUUUGCACCAACCUAAUAUAAGUAAAAGCAAGUCACUCUGAACACCUGACCUGUGUUACAAGUUCUCUUGUUUGUCUGUUAGUUGUUUCUCAUCUGCCCCGCCCCUAUUAGAGCAUAGGCUCCAUCAGGGCACAGGCCCUGUCUGGCUUAUUUGCCUCAGUGACUAGACCAGGGCCUGGCACCUACAUAGACACUCAGCAAGUUGUUAGUCGAAUACAUGACCAAACUGCUCUCAGGGAUGGGCAUGUUGAUGAAAGGGAGUGCUAGAGCAUGGAGCAAGAUGCUGAGAGCCUUGCCUUACGUCUCUUCAGUCCACCCUGACCACACACAGUUAGAGGCAGGCAGAUGGGAACAGUGCUGUGGGGAAAACAGGUCCCUUGGCCACCGUUGACUUGGCUCAAUGCUGAUUCAGAUCUGAUGAACACGCACGGCCCCAACUAAUCCCUCUGCAUCACAUCCCUCUUCCUUCCCUCAUUUUCUUAUUUCUCCUCUACUCCCCACUAGCCAUGGCUUCUUUUUUUUUUUUUUAAGACGGAGUCUUGCUCUGUUGCCCAGGCUGGAGUGCAAUGGUGUGAUCUCGGCUCACUGCAACCUCCACCUCCUGAGUUCAAGCAAUUCUCCUUUCUCAGCCUCCUGAGUAGCUGGGAUAAUGGGCACCCACCACCACGCCCGGCUAAUUUUUUGUAAUUUUAGUAGAGACAGGGUUUCACCAUCUUGGCCAGGCUGGUCUUGAACUCCUAACUUCAUGAUCCACCCACCUCAGUCUCCCAAAGUGCUGGGAUAACAGGCAUGGGCCGCCACACCCGGCCUUUUUUUUUUUUUUUUUUGAGACCGUGUCUCGCCCUGUUGCCCAGGCUGGAGUGCAGCAGCCCAAUCUUGGCUCACUGCAACCUCUGUUUCCUGGGUUCAAGGGAUUCUCCUGUCUCAGCCUACCAAGUAGCUGGCACCUCCAUGCCCAGAUAAUUUUUGAAUUUUUAGUAGAGACAGGAUUUCACCAUGUUGACCAGGCUGAUCUCAAACUCCUGGCCUCAAGUGAUCUACCCACCAAAGUACUGGGAUAACAAGCUUAAGCCACUGCCCCCGGCCACAAUGCCUUCAUUUUCUGCUGCUUGGAGAGUCUCAAAGCUCAAUUCUUGGGUCUUUGUUCUUCACCUUUACUACCUGAUCAUUUGUUUCAGUCUCAAGGUUUUAAAUACCAUGUUUACCCUGAGGAAGGAGUCCCCAACCUAGAGCUCAAAUCCAGAGCCUUGCCCUGAGCUUCAGACUCUUAUCAACAUCUUGGCAUCUCCACUUGGACAUAUUUUAGACAUCUCAAAGUCAGCAUGUGAAGAACUUAAUUCUUUUUUUUUUUUUUUUUGAGAUGAAGUCUUGCUCUGUCACCCAGGCUGGAGUGCAGUGGCACGAUCUCGACUCACUGCAACCUCUCCCUCCCAGGUUCAAGCAAUUCUCCUGCCUCAGCCCCCUGAGUAACGGACUACAGGCGCCCGCCAACACACCCGGCUAAAUUUCAUAUUUUUAGUAGAGAUGGGUUUCACCAUGUUGGUCAGGCUGGUCUUGAACUCCUGACCUCGUGAUCUGCCUGCCUUGGCCUCCCAAAGUGCUGGGAUUACAGGCAUAAGCCACUUCACCCACACCAAGAACUAAAUUCUUCAGCUCCCCACACAAAUAAUGCUCCAUCGUGGUCUUCCCCAGCUCCAUCACUGGCAACCACAUCCUUAAAAUUGGCCAGGUUACAAUCCCUCCUUUCUCUCAAAUUCCACCUUCAAUCCAUCUGCAAAUCCAUCUAUAAUGUAUCCAUAUCUGAUCACUUCUUACCACCUCCAUGUUUCCACUCUGGUCCAGUCCACCGUUCGCCCACAUCCAGUCUCUUCUCAAGGUAACUGGGCCUGAUAAACUGCAAAGCAAAUCGCAUCACACCUCUCAAUACAAUCUUCUGGCUUCUAUUCAUCUCGUUCAGAGGAAAAACUAGAGUCCUACACAGUCGGCCUCUUCUCAUCUCUCUGACCUCAUCUCCUACCUCUCUGCCUGCUCUGCCCUGCUUCAGCUGUAAUGCAUUCUUUUUUGAGGAUCUGCAUGGCUCACUCUGCUUUGCUCACGCCAGUAAGUCCCUCUCACCAUUCUGUUUAAAAUUACAGUAUUCUUCAACACACACACAAAUUCCAUAUUUCUUCUCAUGCUUUACUUCUUUUCUCCGAAGCAUUUAUUGCCUUUGAACAUAUGUAGUUGAUUCAGUUUCUUAUCUGUCUCUCCUCAUGUGACAGAGUCAGCUUGCCAGUUACCAAAUACUCCUGUUUGCUGCUGGGAACUACAUUUGCCAGAUGUGCCCUGGCAUUUGGCUGGGCCAUGUGAUUCUUGCCAAUGGACAUAGAGCAGAAAUUGGACUCUGAAUGAACACUCAGAAACUGGCUUGGCCAAAACACCUGCACUGGACUCUAAGUUGGGAAGACAAUAUAUCUUUUUUUCCUUUUUUAUAGACAGUUUCACUCUUUUUGCCUAGGCUGGAGUGCAGUGGCACAAUCUCAGCUCACUGCAACCUGGACUCCCUGCAACCUCUGCCUCCCGGGUUCAAAUGAUUUGCCUGCCUCAGCCUCCCAAGUAGCUGGGACUACAGGCACCCACCACCACCCCUGACUAAUUUUUGUAUUAUUAGUAGAGACAGAAUUUCACCACAUUGGUCAAGCUGGUCUGGAGCUCCUGACCUCAGGUGAUCUGCCCGCCUCAGCCUCCAAAAGUGCUGGGAUUAGAGACGUGAGCCACCACCCCUGGCCAAUAGAUCUUUAGGAUGUUAAUCCACAUAGCAUCUAGCACCUCAAUUACAGCACCUUAGUUACUGUGGCCUACUAGAAUGGAAGCUCAGUGAGGGCAUGAAUGGAUGGAUGUAGUGUUCAUUAAUGUCUCUGUCCUCAGUGCUUAGAACAAAGCUUGACAUAUUUUAAGUACUUAAUAAAUAUUUGUUGAAUGAGUAAGUGAACAAAUGAAUGAAUGAAUUCCCUUUUCUACCAUGAAUUCCAAAAUAAGUGAAUGGUUGGAAGGAAGAACACAAAGGAAAAGGAUUAAAUUGUUUUGGAUUUUUUUUUUUGGUGAAAAGUAGAAACUGGAUUUCUAAGAAUCAUUGACUGUAAGGCCUUGAUAAAAAUAGAAUUGCACCUGUAAUCCCAGCACUUUGAGGGGCUGAGGCUGGCAGAUCACUUGAGGUCAGGAGUUCAAGACCAGCCUGGCCAUCAUGGCUAAACACCGUCUCGACCAAAAAUACAAAAAUUAGCCAGGCAUGGUGGCAGGCACCUAUAACCCCAGCUGCUCAGGAGGCUGAGGCAGGAGAACCACUUGAACAUGGGAGGCGGAGGUUGCAGUGAGCCAAGAUUGUGCCACUGCACUCUAGCCUGAACAACAGAGUGAGACUCCAUCUCAAAAAAAAAAGUAAAUGGAAUCCCAUUCUUUAAGUCUUGUUCUGCCCCAUAUUCACCUUUCCUUUUCUUUUUCUUCCUUCCACGUUCUACCACCUCCAUCUCUAUUCCACGCAAGUUCUCCUCACUCCUCCCUUCUUCUUCCCUUUCUCUGAUGGGUUGUCUUCUGUUUUUCCUCCCACUUAAUCUAACAAGAAUUCAUGGCUUAUUAACUUCAGACACUUUGAAUGCUUAGCCACGAUUUCUGUUCCAAGUCAUUUAAAAUAUACUACGGGGAGAUAAUAUGGGUUUAAAAAUAUAGCAAAUGUUGGCUGGGCGCAGUAGCUCACGCCUAUAAUUCCAGCACUUUGGGAGGCUGAGGCGGGCAGCUCAUCUGAGGUCAGGAGUUUGAGACCAGGCUAACCAUCAUGGGGAAACCCCAUCUCUACUAAAAAUACAAAAUUAGCCGGAUGUGGUGGCAGGCACUCGUAAUCCUAGCUACUCGGGAGGCUGAGGCAGGAAUAUCACAUGAACCUGGGAGGCAGAGGUUGCAGUGAGCUGAGAUCACGCCAUUGCAUUUCAGCCUAGGAAACAAGUGAAACUCUGUCUCAAAAUAUAUCAAUAUAUUAUAUAUUAUAUAUAAAUAUAUAUAUUAUAAAUAUAUGUUAUAUAUAAAUUAUAUAAUUAAUAUAUAUAAAACAAAAUGUUAAAUCCUUGGACUCUAACAUUCCUCUUCUACUUUUAAUUCCCCCCCCCUUUUUUUUUUUCUGAGACAAGAGUCUUGCUCUGUCACCCAGGCUGGAGUGCAGUAGAGCAAUCUCGGCUCACUGCAACCUCUGCCUUCCAGGUUUAAGCGAUUCUCCUGCCUCAGCCUCCCAAGUAGCUGGGAUUACAGGCAUCCACCACCACGCCCAACUAAUUUUUUUUUUUUUGUAUUUUUAGUAGAGAUGGGGUUUCACCAUGUUGGCCAGGCUCUUCUCAAACUCCUGACCUCGUGAUCCACCUACCUCAGCUUUCCAAAGUGGUGGGAUUACAGGCGUGAGCCACCGCGCCCAGCCUCGUCUUCUACUUUUAGGCCCACUUGGUUUCUACUUGAGAUACAGAAAAGAAGUGAUGGCGGACGGGAUAAUGCAAGCUAACCCCGCCAUUGAGGACAGUGAAAACAAAAUAGACACAUUUUGAAGACAUCUGCUUGAACACAGCUGGGUAAAAAGAGUGAAAAACUACCAAGAGUAGACAGAAAAGGAAGGUGAUUCUGACAUUUGGGGUCCUUUUGCCCUAGGGACAUUUGCUUUUAACAGAUCAGUUGAGCAAGUAUCAGCAAACUAUGUAAAGGGCCACAUAGUAAACAUUUUAAGACUUGAGAACAAUACGUAUUCUCUGUUCAGUAAUGUUCUGUUUCUCUUUCUCUGUCUCUCUUUUGUUACUAUCUUUUGGGUUUUUUUCCCCCAACUUUUUUUUUCAGAUGGAGUCUAGCUCGGUUGCUCAGGCUGGAGUGCAGUGGUGCAAUCUCGGCUCACUGCAGCUUCUGCCUCCUGGGUUCAAGCUAUUCUCCUCCCUCAGCCUCCCAAGUAAUGAAUUACAAGCAUGCACCACCACACCCAGCUAAUUUUUUGUAUUGUUAGUAGGGACGGGGUUUCACCAAGUUCAGGCUAAUCUUGAACUCCUGACCUCAAGUGAUUCACCCAUCGUGGCCUCCCAAAGUACUGAGAUUACAGGCAUGAGCCACCACAGCCUGCCCCCAACUUUUUAAAUAUGUAAAAACAUGGCCAGGCACAGAGAAAGAGAAACAGAACAUUACUUAACAGAAAAGACAUAUUGUUUUCAAGGCUUAAAAUGUUUACUAUGUGGCCCUUUACAUAGGGCCAUGCCUAUAAUCCCAGCACUUUGGGACACCAAGGCAGGAGGAUCGCUUGAGCCCAGGAAUUCAAGAUCAGCCUGGGUAACACAGUGAGACCCUGUCUCUACAAAAAAAAAUUUAAAAACAAAAAAAAUGAGGCCGGCCGCGGUGGCUCACGGCUGUAAUCCCAGCACUUUGGGAGGCCGAGGCGGGUGGAUCACAAGGUCGGGAGAUCGAGACCAUCCUGGUCAACAUGGUGAAACCCUGUCUCUACUAAAAAUACAAAAAAAUUAGCUGGGCACGGUGGCGCGUGCCUGUAAUCCCAGCCACUCAGGAGGCUGAGGCAGGAGAAUUGCCUGAACCCAGGAGGCGGAGGUUGCCGUGAGCCGAGAUCGCGCCAUUGCACUCCAGCCUGGGUAACGAGCGAAACUCCGCUUCAAAAAAAAAAAAAAAAAAGGCUAGGUGUGGUGGCAUGUGCCUACAGUCCCAACUACUCAGGAAGCCACAGUGCCCAAGGAGGUAAGGUACAAGAUUGUAAAUUUCAGCAAAAAAAAAAAAAAAAAAAAAAUCCGGGAGGCAGAGGUUGCAGUGAGCCAAGAUUGUGCCACUGCACUCCAGCCUGGGUAACAGAGAAACCCCAUCUCUGCAAAAAAAAAAAUUUUUAAUUAAAAAAAAAUUAACCAGGUAUGGUGGCAUGUGCCUAUAGUCCCAACUACUCAGGAAGCUAUAGUGCCCAAGGAGGUAAGAUACAAGAUUGGAAAUUUUGCAUGGGGAGAAAUGCCAGAUAUAGGUGAUGGGGAGGAAGGCAGCAAAUCACACUACCAUGUGUGUACCUAUGCAACAAUCUUGCAUGUUCUUCACAUGUACCCUAAAACCUAAAAUGCAAUUUAAAAAAAUAAAAUGUUGGCCAGGCAUGGUGGCUCACGCCUGUAAUCUCAGCAAUUUGGGAGGCAAGUGGAUCACCUGAGGUUGGGAGUUUGACCAGCCUGACCAACAUGGAGAAAAUUAAAUUUAUAUAAAUUUAUACCCAGGGCUGGAGUAGGAGAGAGUGGGAAGUUGUUAUUUAAUGUGCGUAGUUUUAAGUUUGCAAGAUGAAAAGCGUUCAGAGAUCAGUUGCAAAACAGGUCAAAUGUACUUUACUGACCUGUAUACUUAAAAACUGUUAAGAUGGGAAUUUUUUUUUUUUUUUCUGAGACGGAGUCUUGCUUUGUCACCCCGGCUAAAGUGCAGUGGCACAAUCUCAGCUCACUGCAACCUCCACCUCCCAGGUUCAAGUGAUUCUCCUGACUCAGCCUACCGAGUAGCUAGGAUUACAGGCACAUGCCACCAAGCCCAGCUAAUGUUUUGUAUUUUUAGUAGAGAUGGGGUUUCACCAUGUUGACCAGGAGGGUCUUGAUCUCCUGACAUCGUGAUCCGACCACCUCGGCCUCCCAAAGCGUGAGCCACUGCACCCAGCGGGAAAUUUUUUAUUAUACAUAUUUUACCACAAUUUACAAAAUUAAAAAAUUGAGACUGAGUACGGUGGCUCAAGCCUGUAAUCCCAAAACUUUGGGAGGCCAAGGUGGGCAGAUCAUCUGGCAUUAGGAGUUCAAAACCAGCCUGGCCAACAUAGUGAAACCCCAUCUCUACUAAAAAUACAAAAUACAAAAAAAAAAUUAGCCAGGAGUGGUGGUGUGCACCUGUAAUCCUAGCUACUCAGGAGGCUGAGGCAGAAGAAUCCCUUGAACCUGGGAGGUAGAGGUUGCAGUGAGCCAAGAUCAUGUCACUGCACCCCAGCCAGGGAAACAGAGCGAGACUCCAUUUUAUGUGUGUGUGUCUCCAAAAAAAAAAAAAAAAUUCAAAGACAAACCAUUCAAAGACUGACCAAAAUAAAGUAGGCUUUAGGGCAAACAGCAUUACUAGAAAUAAAGAAAGACACUGGAUAACGUUAAUAUUCUCAGUUCACCAAGAAGAUAUAACAGUUCUAAGUUUGUGUGUCACUGAUACACAUAGCUUCAAAAUAUAUAAAGCAAAAAAUGGUCCGAAUUGCAAGGAGCCAAAUCUACAAUUAUAGUGGAAGUUAUGUCUAUCAGUAACUGUUAAAAGAAGCAUAUACAAAAUUAGUAAGCAAUAGAUCUGAGCAACUGGGUAAGCAAACUUUAACCAAAUGGACAGAUCUAGAAUAGUGCACUCACAACUGCAGAUCCCAGAUUCUUUUCAAGUAUAUAUGGAAUGUUUAUGAAACGCUAGGCAAUAUAGCAAGUUCCAACAAAUUUCCAGUGAUGUAAAUCAUUCAGAGUACAUUCUCAGACAGUGACACAAUGAAGCCAAAAAAAAGAAUUUUAAAAAUUAAGUAGGAAAUAUCUACAUGUUCCAAAACUAUAUAUGUACUUGUAAAUAACUCACGGAUUAAAAAAAAAAUCGCAAUGGGAAUCAAAGUAUUUUAAACUGAUAGUUCAUAAAAAUAUUACAUCCUCAAAAUUGAGAUGCAGCUAAAGCCAUACUUCAAUGGCAAGGGUUUUUUUUGUUUUUUUUUGAGACGGGGUUUCGCUCUUGUUACCCAGGCUGGAGUGCAGUGGUGCGAUCUCGGCUCACCGCAACCUCUGCCUCCUGGGUUCAAGCAAUUCUCCUGCCUCAGCCUCCCGAGUAGCUGGGACUACAGGCACACACCACCACGCCCAGCAAAUUUUUGCAUUUUUAGUAGAGACAAGGUUUCACCAUGUUGACCAGGAUGGUCUCGAUCUCUUGACCUUGUGAUCCACCUGCCUCAGCCUCCCAAAGUGCUGGGAUUACAGGCGUGAGCCACUGCGCCCAGCAGCAAUGGCAAGUUUUUAAUUAAAGUAUUUUUAAUGCCAAUAUUAGAAAAUAAGAGAGAAUGAAAUAAGAGUAAAGUCCUCUUGUUGAGAAAUUAGAAAAUUAAGCACAAAGAAAGUGCAAAGAAAUGAAAACAUAGGCAAAAGUUAAUUCUUUGAGAGGCCCAAUAAAAUUAAGCCCAUGGUAAAUCUUUUGUUUUGUUUUGUUUUGUUUGUUUGGAGACAGAGUUUCACUCUGUUGCCCAGGCUGGAGUGCAGUAGUGUGGUCUGGCCUCACUGCAGCCUCUGCCUCCCAGGUUCAAGUGAUUCUCAUGCCUCAGCUUCCCAAAUAGCUAAGAUUACAGGAGCGUGCCACCAUGCCCAGCUAAUUUUUGGUGAAACCCCAUGUCUACUAAAAAUACAAAAAAUUAGCCAGGUGUAGUGGUGCAUGCCUGUGGUCCCAGCUACAGCAGAGGCUAAGGCACGAGUAUUGCUUAAACCCGGGAAGCAGAGGUUGCAGUGAGCAGAGAUCAUACCUCUGAACUCCAACCUGGGCAACAGAGUGAGACCUUGUCUCCAAAACACCGGAAAGAAAGAAACCUGACCUCCACAAAGAACAAUUAAUUCCAGAUGGGUCAUAGAUUUAAAUGUGUAAGAAAAAACAACAAAGCUCCUCAAACAGUACAAACCAAGAGCAAAUGAAAGUAUUUGAUGAUAUGUGCUUUAAUACAGGCAACUGAGGGAUUUUAAAAUUUUUGUUUCAUUUAAAUUCAUUUCUGUUUAAAUAGCCACAAAUGGCUACCAUAUUGAGUACCACAGAAUUAGAAGAUAAUAUUAAAAUAUCUUUGUGACCUAGGAAAGAAUUAUUAAACAGGACACAAAAAUCAAUAACCAAAAAGAAUAAAAAAAUUAAUUUGACUACAUUGAAAUUAAGAAAUUCUGUACACUACAAAACAUUAUUAAAAGAGUACAACUUCAUGUCACAAGUGGAAAAGGAUAUUUACAGCACGUAUAACAAAGGGUUUAGAUCUGGAAUAUAUAAAGGAUUGUAACAUAUCAAUAAAGAAAAAAAACCAGAUAAAUGCCAUCAACAGGUAAUUCAGCAGAAAAGUUAUCCAAAUGACCAAUAAGGGUGUUGGAAAGUGCUCAACCUCACUCAUAAGCAAAUACAAAUACAAAUUAAAAUCAUGAGAUAGCAGCACAACCCAGCAGAAGGGCUAAAAUUUAAAAGGCUGACAAUACAGAGAAGUGGUAAGGAUGUAGAGCAAUGGAAUCCGAAAUACAGCUGAGUCAGUUUAAACUGGUAUAACCGGCCAGGUGCAUGGCUCACACGUGUAAUCCCAGCACUUUGGACGACCGAGGCAGGCAGAUCUCCUGAGUUCAGGAGUUCAACACCAGCCUGGCCAACAUAGCGAAACCCAUCUCUACUAAAAAAAAAAAUAGGCAGGCAUGGUGGUGUGUGCCUAUAAUCCCAGUUACUGGAGGGGCUGAGGCUAGAGAAUUGCUUGAACCUGGGAGGCGGAGAUUGCAAUGAGCCGAGAUUGCACCACUGCACUCUAGCCUGAGCAACUGAGCGAGACUCUGAAAAAAAAAAAAAAAAAAAAAAAAAAAAUUGGUAUAACCACUUUGGAAAACUGUUUGCCAGUAUCUGUUGAUGUUGAAUAUCCUCUAUAACCCAGCAAUUUCACUCCAGGAAUUAUGUGAACUUGUGUCUCAAAAGACAUGAGUAUUUGUAUUAGAAUAUGGGUGUUCGUAGCAGUAUGAAUCGUAGUAGACAAAAGUUGGAGGCAGACCCAGAUGUACUUCAGCAGUGGAAUAAGCAAACCUCCACAUUCAUACCAUGAAUUACCCCACAGCAGGCAAGGAGUGGUGGCUCCUGCCUGUAAUCCCAGCACUUUGAGAGGCCUAGACAGUCAGAUCACUUGAGGCCAGGGGUUCAAGCCCAGCAUGGCCAACAUAGCAAAACCCCAUCUCUACUAAAAAAUACCAAAAUUAGCAGGGUAUUUUUUGGUGGAAUACACACCUGUAAUUCCAGCUACUUAGGAGGCUGAUGGAGGAGAAUUGCUUGAACCCGGGAGGUGGAGGCUGCAGUGAUCUGAGAUUGUUCCACUGCACUCCAGCCUGGACAACAGAACGAGACCCCAUCUCAAAAAAAAAGGGCUAACAAACUUAACUACAGCAUUGACAGACACAUGCUUAGCAAGGAGACAACUGCCGUAAAAUUUAGGACCGUGGUUGCCUCCAAAAGGAGAUAGGAAGCAUGAGUGAGGGUCCGAGUGAGGGUCCGAUGGUACAUUUCUUGACCUGAUGUUUUGUGACAUGGCUCUUUGCUGUGUGAUAAAGUAAUGAGGUAUCUCUGUUUCAUACACUUUUCUGUAGUAUGUCAUAUUUCACAAUAAGGAAAGGCUAAAGGAAGGCCAGGUGUGGUGGCUCACGCCUGUAAUCCCAACACAUUGGGAGACUGAGGCAGGUGGAUUAUUUGAGGUCAGGAGUACAAGACCUGCCUGGCCAAGAUGGUGAAACCCCGUUUCUACUAAAAAUACAAAAACUGAAUGGGCAUGGUGGCACACGCCUGUAUUCCCAGCUACUCGGGAGGCUGAGGUAGGAGAAUCGCUUGAACCUGGGCGGCAGAGGUUGCAGUGAGCCAAGAUCGUGCCACUGCACUCCAGCCUGGGCGACAGCAACACUCCAUCUCAAAAAAAUAAAAUAAAAUUUUAAAAAUAAAAAUGUGAAACACAGUGGGUAUGUUUAACAAAGAAGCUGCUCUAUAUUUGUCUCCUUCCUAAUGAAAUCAGGACCCUUUCUCAAAGGAAGUAAGAAGUUUGCAGCGUUUCUGGCCUCCCCAGACGUAUCAAGUGGCUGCUUCUGGCUUCUCAGUACACUUUCAAUCCACCACUUUUCUUUCUCUCUCCUAGUCAGAUGUGCUCUGUGUGUGUGUAUGUGUGUACAUGUGAGUGAGCGUGUGUGUGAAUGUGUCCGAGAGAGCAUGAGUGUGUCAAUGUUUGCAUGUAUGUGUGAGCAUGUGUUUGUGUGUGGAUGAGUGUGUGUAAAUGUUUACAUCUCUGUGAAGAUGUAUGAGUGUGUGCAAACAUGCAUAUGUGUGGAUGAGUGUGUUUACAUCUGUGUGUUAAUGUGUAUGUAUUGUGUGUGAAUGUGCAUGUGUGUGUGAAUGUAGGUGUGAAUGCGAGUGUGAAUGUAUGUGUGUGUGACUGGAUGAGUGUGUGUGCGUUUACAUCUUUGUGUUAUGUGAACGUGCAUGUGUGUGUGACGUGUGGGAAUGGGUGUGAAUGUGUGUAGGAGUGUGUUUGAGUGUGUUUAUGUGUGUGACCGUGUAUGUGUUGUGUGUGAACGUAGGUGUGAAUGUGAGUGCGUGAGUGAAUGUAUAUGGAUGUGUGUGUGGAGUGUGUUUACAUCUGUGUGUGAACGUGUAUGUGUUGUGUGAAUGUGAGUGAAUGUGAUGUAUGAGUGUGUGCAUGUUUAUAUUUGUGUGUGUAUGUGAAUGUGUGUGUGUGUGUGUGUUUAUAUGCACACCCGCCUGCGUGGCUCAGCCUCUGCCCUGGCCCUCUGGCCGCUGCAUCCUCUCCCACGGUGCAUCGUCUGCUGACUCUGUAGCCCUGCAGGCCUUCCUCGAACAGUCCAUGACAGGAAGCCAGGCUUCCUGGGGUCCUGAGUCAGCAGAGCAGGAAGGAAACAAAGGCCUCAGAACCGCAGAAGAGAAAAAAGGAGCCUGAAGACAGAAGGCGGCCCUCUGAAGACAGGGCUAGAGACCACGUAUGUUCUUGGAGUCCCCUUGCCUGAAAGUGAAGCGCAAACCCUGAGUCACACUCUAUCAUCUGACCUGUCUGACCUCAGCCUUUCUCUGCUGCAGUUUCUUUGCCUGUGAAAUAGGGAAUGGCCUUCCCAGGGAUUGAGGGAUCACAGGCUUCUCAAACUGCGACUUGGAUAGGGUAUCUCUUCAGUAGAAAAAUUCAAUGAGGUUUCUCUCACCUUCUACCUAUGGGCCAGUUACAUACAGAAGAGAAAACUAAAACUGAAAACUGAUUUGUGAUUUUUACAAAAAGUCGCUGAGAAGGAGAAUUCCCAGUACAGAAUGGAACAUGGCUGCUCAAGCAAUUCACAGCCUCUCUUGCAGUGAGAAAUUGUCCUGGAACAGGCUGGGCAUGGUGGCUCUAGCACUUUGGGAGGCCACGAUAGGUGGAUCACCGGAGGUCAGGAGUUCGAGACCAGCCUAACCAACAUGGAGAAACCCCAUCUCUACUAAAAAUACAAAAUUAGCCGGACAUGGUGGCACAUACCUGUCAUCCCAGCUACUCGGGAGGCUGAGGCAGGAGAAUCGCUUGAACCCGGGAGGCAGAGGUUGCAGUGAGCUGAGAUGGGGCCAUUGCACUCCAACCUAGGCAACAAGAGCAAAACUCCAUCUCAAAAGAAAAGAAAAAAAGAAAUUGUUCUGGAACAAAGAGUUGCAACCAAAACCAUUGUGUGCAUUGUCCAGAAAAUGUCCUUUAAAAAGGGUUAUGGGCACUGUCUUUUACUCCUUCCUAUUUCCUACUGGGUAGAAUAUGCAUGUGCAGUCUGAAGCUUGAGCAGCCAGCUUGGAUUGUGAGGCUGUGUGCUAAGCACAUCAGAACAUUAAAACUAGACGUGUUGGCCUGGCGUGGUGGCUCACACCUGUAAUGCCAGCACUUUGGGAGACCAAGGCAGAUAGAUCACCUGAGGUCAGGAGUUUGAGAACAGCCUGGCCAACAUGGUGAAACCCUGUCUUUACUAAAAAUACAAAAAUUAGCUGGGCAUGGUAUUGUGCACCUGUAGUCCCAGCUAUUCGGGAGGCUGAGGCAGGAGAAUGACUUGAACCAGGGAGAUGGAGGUUGCAGUGAGCAGAGAUGCAGUCUGGCCAACAAGAGUGAAACUCUAUCUCAAAAAAAAAAAAAAAAAAAAAACAAAACUAGAGGUCUCGGGCACAGUGGCACAUGCCUAUAAUCCCAGCACUUUGGGAGGCUGAGAUGGGCAGAUCACUUGAGGCCAGGUGUUCAAGACCAGCCUGGCCAACAUGAUGAAACCCCAUCUCUACUAAAAAAAAAUUUUUUU